rnacentral:rRNA from 1 species
AUGGCGACCAGCGACGAACUCGCCCAGGUCGACAUCUCCACGGAGGAGAAGGACAAGCUGGUGGCCGAGGUGAUGCGCUACGCGCUCUUCAAGACGCACCAGAACUCCGGCUGCCCCAUCAAGCGGGAGGAGCUCACGCAGAUCAUCACCAAGAACUACCGCCAGCGAGCGCUCCCUGCGCUCGUCAUCAAGGAGACUGGGGACAGGCUUGCCGCGACCUUCGGCUAUGAGAUGAGGGAGCUCCAGAGGACCCGCUCCACGUCCACCCGCUCUGGACGCCCCUCCUCCCAGCAGCCCAGUAAUCAGGACGCAAAGAGCUACGUCCUGGUAAGUAAGCUGGACCCUGAGGUGUACAGCAAGUAUGUCGAGGAUAAGGAGCGUGCCCAUGUGUCUGGAUUUGCUUUUGUUGUCAUAAGCAUUGUUCAUGUCGCUGGUGGCAAGAUCUCUGAAGAGGACCUUUGGCGUCAGCUUAAACGGCUGGGCUUAAACGAGACUGAUGAGAACCACCCUGUUCUCGGCAACAAUAAGCAGGCGCUUGAACUACUAGUGCAACAAAGGUACUUGCUGAAGGAGAAGAUUGCUGGUCCAGAAGGCCAUUCCAUGGUUUAUGAGCUUGCAGAGAGGGCAUUGGAUGAAUCCAUCAGCUCGAAGCUUAAAGAAUACAUUUCACAGGUUGUGGGCGUCAGUACAGCUACAGCAGAAUGA